UUGAAUAAACUUGAGCAGGCUGUUUGCUGACCUCUUUGGUGGGGUAUGUGCACGCUUGUCAUCUUUAUCUCUCCAACUUGUGCACAUAUUUGUAGACCUGGGAGUUUUGAAUUUACUUUAUGUUCAAGUUUUGGGAACUGCUUAUCAGCUUUUUGCCCUUGCCCAUGGUCUAUGUCAUUUUUCACAAACCUCUGAAUUCGUUUAGAAUGUUGAAUCAGGUGCAUUGUGUACCUUUAAUAAUAUAA
rnacentral:misc_RNA from 1 species